rfam:Eutrema salsugineum unplaced genomic scaffold scaffold_5, whole genome shotgun sequence.
AAACCAUGAUGAUGGCAAUGUCUCUCAUAUUCCUUGAAUCAUUUCCAUGCCUCGUAGAAUGAUUCGACGGAGCCUCGUUGGAAACUUUGGAUCUUGUUUCUCAGCU